rnacentral:tRNA from 1 species
GGCCCCGUAGCUCAGCUGGAUAGAGCAACUGCCUUCUAAGCAGUAGGUCGCAGGUUCGAAUCCUGCCGGGGUCGCCA